UGCAAGUCGAGCGGACUUUAAAGCUUGCUUUUAAAGUUAGCGGCGGACGGGUGAGUAACACGUGGGCAACCUGCCUGUAAGACUGGGAUAACUUCGGGAAACCGGAGCUAAUACCGGAUAAUCCUUUUCCUCUCAUGAGGAAAAGCUGAAAGACGGUUUACGCUGUCACUUACAGAUGGGCCCGCGGCGCAUUAGCUAGUUGGUGAGGUAACGGCUCACCAAGGCAACGAUGCGUAGCCGACCUGAGAGGGUGAUCGGCCACACUGGGACUGAGACACGGCCCAGACUCCUACGGGAGGCA
rnacentral:rRNA from 2 species